AAAAGCGAAUAAGGGCGCACGGAGGAUGCCUAGACAACAAGAGCCGAAGAAGGACGUGAUAAGCUGCGAAAAGCUAGGACGAGUUGCACAUUAGCGUUGACUCCUAGAUAUCCGAAUGGGAAAACCUAUAUACUUGAAGAGUAUAUACGAAAGAGGUAAGUGGGCGAACUGAAACAUCUAAGUAGCCUGAGGAAAAUAAAGUAAAAACGAUUCUCUAAGUAGCGGCGAGCGAACGGGGAAGAGCCUAAACCAUGGUAGUGUUAAAGUUGGCACGUUGCUAUUAUGGGGUAGAGGGAUAGUUGAUUGACGGAUAGCCAUGAAGUCGACAAAUUAAAUGACGUAAGAGGAACACAACUGGAAAGUUGGACCGAAGAAGGUGAUAGUCCUGUAGAUUGUAAAAUCAUUUAAAUGUUUUAACUAAUCCCGAGUAGUAUCGGACACGAGGAAUCCGGUGUGAAUCAGCGAGGACCAUAUCUCGUAAGGCUAAAUACUCUUGUUGAUCGAUAGAGAAUAGUACCGUGAGGGAAAGGUGAAAAGAACCCUGAGUAAGGGAGUGAAAUAGAACCUGAAACCGUGUGCUUACAAACGGUAGGAGCCCUUUGGGGUGACUGCGUGGAUUUUGGUUAAUCAUCCUGCGAGUUAUGAUGUGUGGCAAGGUUAAGUAAACGGAGCCGAAGGGAAACCGAGUCUUAAUAGGGCGAUAAGUCGCAUGUCAUAGACGCGAAACCUAGUGAUCUAGGCCUGUCCAGGUUGAAGCUGGGGUAAGACCCAGUGGAGGACCGAACUCACCACCGUUGAAAAGUUGGGAGAUGAGAUAGGUUUAGGGGUGAAAAGCCAAUCGAACUAGGAGAUAGCUCGUUCUCUCCGAAAUGCAUUUAGGUGCAGCCUUAAUAAAGAUAUAUGGGGGUAGAGCUCUGUAUGGCCUAGGGGGCGUAUAGCUUACCGAAGUCAAGCAAACUGCGAAUACCAUAUAUUAAUUAUUAGGAGUGAGUCCAUGGAUGACAAGGUCCAUGGACGAGAGGGAAACAGCCCAGACCAUCAGCUAAGGUCCCAAAUUAUGUCUAAGUGGGGAAGGAGGUGGAUACUCACAAACAACCAGGAGGUUGGCUUAGAAGCAGCCAUUCCUUUAAAGAGUGCGUAAUAGCUCACUGGUCGAGAGUAUCUGCGCCGAAGAUUUAACGGGGCUAAGACAUAAACCGAAGCUAUGGAAACUAGAUUUUAUCUAGUUUGGUAGGAGAGCGUUCUGUAAGCCGUAGAAGGUGUACUGUAAGGUAUAUUGGAGGUAUCAGAAGUGAGAAUGCAGGAAUGAGUAGCGAGAAAGAGAGUGAGAAUCUCUCUGGCCGAAAGUCCAAGGUUUCCAGAGGAAGGUUUGUCCGCUCUGGGGGAGUCGGGACCUAAGUCGAGGCUUAAAAGCGUAGGCGAAUGGAAAAUAGGUUAAUAUUCCUAUACCACUAUAUAAACGUUAUUAGAGAUGGAGUGACGCAGGAAGGUAUGUGAGAAGGGCGACGGUUGUCCCUUUCUAAGGAAGUAGUGUGAACAUGGAGGCAAAUCCACAUGUUUAAACAUGAGAUCUUAUGGGUAAGUAGCUUAGGCUAUAAGUCACAAAUCCUAUACUGCCGAGAAAAACUUCUAUUGAGAUUAUGUAGUGCCCGUACUGUAAACCGACACAGGUGGACUGGGUGAGUAACCCGAGGCCGACAGGAUAACUCUAGCUAAGGAACUCUGCAAAAUGGCCCCGUAACUUCGGGAGAAGGGGUACCUAUGUUAUGUGAUAAGAUAAACACUUUGAGCAGAAAUAGGUCGCAGUGAAGAGUCCCAAGCAACUGUUUACCAAAAACACAGGUCUAUGCUAAGCUGAAAGGCGACGUAUAUGGGCUGACACCUGCCCAGUGCUGGAAGGUUAAGAGGAGGAUUGAGAGAUUCGAAUUGAAGCCCCAGUGAACGGCGGCCGUAACUAUAACGGUCCUAAGGUAGCGAAAUUCCUUGUCGGG
rnacentral:rRNA from 1 species